GGGUUGUGAGGUUAAGCGACUAAGCGUACACGGUGGAUGCCCUGGCAGUCAGAGGCGAUGAAGGACGUGCUAAUCUGCGAUAAGCGCCGGUAAGGUGAUAUGAACCGUUAUAACCGGCGAUUUCCGAAUGGGGAAACCCAGUGUGACUCGUCACACUAUCAUUAACUGAAUCCAUAGGUUAAUGAGGCGAACCGGGGGAACUGAAACAUCUAAGUACCCCGAGGAAAAGAAAUCAACCGAGAUUCCCCCAGUAGCGGCGAGCGAACGGGGAGGAGCCCAGAGCCUGAAUCAGCAUGUGUGUUAGUGGAAGCGUCUGGAAAGGCGCGCGAUACAGGGUGACAGCCCCGUACACAAAAGCGCAUGUGCUGUGAGCUCGAUGAGUAGGGCGGGACACGUGGUAUCCUGUCUGAAUAUGGGGGGACCAUCCUCCAAGGCUAAAUACUCCUGACUGACCGAUAGUGAACCAGUACCGUGAGGGAAAGGCGAAAAGAACCCCGGCGAGGGGAGUGAAAAAGAACCUGAAACCGUGUACGUACAAGCAGUGGGAGCCCCACCACUAAGCCAGUGGUGAACUCCACAUACGCAUCCUUUGCUGAGGAGACGGUUAACGGAGCGAAAGCGACGUUCAACCUCAAAACAAGCAGAGGGGGCUUAGUGGUGGGGUGACUGCGUACCUUUUGUAUAAUGGGUCAGCGACUUAUAUUCUGUAGCAAGGUUAACCGAAUAGGGGAGCCGGAGGGAAACCGAGUCUUAAUUGGGCGUUAAGUUGCAGGGUAUAGACCCGAAACCCGGUGAUCUAGCCAUGGGCAGGUUGAAGGUUGGGUAACACUAACUGGAGGACCGAACCGACUAAUGUUGAAAAAUUAGCGGAUGACCUGUGGCUGGGGGUGAAAGGCCAAUCAAACCGGGAGAUAGCUGGUUCUCCCCGAAAGCUAUUUAGGUAGCGCCUCGUGAAUUCAUCUCCGGGGGUAGAGCACUGUUUCGGCUAGGGGGCCAUCCCGGCUUACCAACCCGAUGCAAACUGCGAAUACCGGAGAAUGUUAUCACGGGAGACACACGGCGGGUGCUAACGUCCGUCGUGAAGAGGGAAACAACCCAGACCGCCAGCUAAGGUCCCAAAGUCAUGGUUAAGUGGGAAACGAUGUGGGAAGGCCCAGACAGCCAGGAUGUUGGCUUAGAAGCAGCCAUCAUUUAAAGAAAGCGUAAUAGCUCACUGGUCGAGUCGGCCUGCGCGGAAGAUGUAACGGGGCUAAACCAUGCACCGAAGCUGCGGCAGCGA
rnacentral:rRNA from 1 species